GAUGAACGCUGGCGGCGUGCCUAAUACAUGCAAGUCGAGCGAACGGACGAGAAGCUUGCUUCUCUGAUGUUAGCGGCGGACGGGUGAGUAACACGUGGAUAACCUACCUAUAAGACUGGGAUGGCUUCGGGAAACCGUAGCUAAUACCGGAUGAUAUUUUGAACCGCAUGGUUCAAAAGUGAAAGACGGUCUUGCUGUCACUUAUAGAUGGAUCCGGGCUGCAUUAGCUAGUUGGUAAGGUAACGGCUUACCAAGGCAACGAUGCAUAGACGACCUGAAGGGGAGGAUGGCCAGCUGGGAACUGAGGAAGGGUCCCAACUCCGACGGGGAGGCACAGUCGGGAAUCCUACGGAAUGGGGCAAAGGCUGACGGAGGAAAAGCGGGGGAAGGAUGAAGGGCCUCGGAUCGGAAAACUCUGUUAUUCGGGGAGAAGAAAAGUGUUAUUAACCGGGCACAUCUUGACGGUACCUAAAGAAAAAGCCCCGGCUAACUCCGUG
rnacentral:rRNA from 1 species